rnacentral:rRNA from 1 species
GACGAACCGUCCAAACGUUAUUCGGAAUUACUGGGCUUAAAGGGUGCGUAGGCGGUGCUACAAGUCGGGUGUGAAAGCCCUCAGCUUAACUGAGGAAUUGCGCCCGAAACUGUAGUGCUGGAGGGAGACAGGGGUGAGCGGAACUGAUGGUGGAGCGGUGAAAUGUGUUGAUAUCAUCAGGAACACCGGUGGCGAAGGCGGCUCACUGGGUCUCUUCUGACGCUGAGGCACGAAAGCUAGGGGAGCAAACGGG